CUGUCAAAUGGUUACUGAGGUUUCUAAAUGUUAUUCUCAGUUGCUAUGCACAUCUCAUGGCGGAAUGUAACAAACAGUUCUUGAACCUGGGAAGGAACUUUGAGGAGCACAGGAGCAGGCCUUGCAAUCCGGAGGCUUAAGAGCCAAAUUGAGGUCCCAUGUCUAUGUAGGUUGGCCUGAAUAGGCGUCUUUUAAAAAUUGGAUUAAAAAAACCCAGAGAUUUCACGUAAAAAUCCAAUUUUUCCUGAAGAGUAAACAGCUUUGGGCAACACAAGCCACAUCAGCAACCGGGUGGAGCAAGCAGCUGCCUCCUCUAAGCCAGCACAGCUCACUGCUGCCCACAGCUCUAACCUCUUCCGGUCCUCUCACUCCCCCAGCACAACAGAGUUGGCCUGGAUUUACCCGUUACUGUAAGGAAUGCGUGUGAUCACAACCGCCAUGACCAACCUCCAUCACAUGCCGGACCAUCAGGCUGCCUGACCCUGUAACCCUCCAUACCACAAUGCCAGCCCCUGAAAUAAAAGCUCAAUAAAAUAACACUUUCCAU